GAAAUGCGAUACUUGGUGUGAAUUGCAGAUACCGUGAAUCAUCAAAUCUUUGAACGCACAUUGCACUGUCUGGAACUCCGGGCAGUAUACCUGUUUGAGUAUCAGCUACUACUCUCACUAUCAGUUACCUUGGUAGCCUAGUGAGGACUUGAGUUAUCAUGGACUAUCCUCGGAUAGCCUGUGCGACUUUAAAUAGCAGUACCAGCGUCCCUAGGAUCGCUGUUAUCUUGCAGAGUUGAUGGCCUUGUGCCUAAUCCUGUUAGGGUAACUGAUCGUAUACCUAGUGGUUAAUCGUAGCUGGCUUACCAAACCAUACAGUGGUCAGUAGUUAACUGGCCGACUGUGACUUUGAUCUCAAAUCAGGUAAGAUUACCCGCUGAACUUAA
rnacentral:misc_RNA from 1 species